CAACAGCUAGAGUUUGAUCCUGGCUCAGGACGAACGCUGGCGGCGUGCCUAACACAUGCAAGUCGUGCGGUCUCGCCUUAAGCGAAAGGCCUUCGGGCUUUGAAGCAAAGGCGAGAUAGCGGCGGACGGGUGAGUAACGCGUGGCUUAUCUGUCCCAGGGAGGGGGAUAACGUCUGGAAACGGGCGCUAAUACCCCAUAUGCCGAAAGGUAAAAAGGAGAAAUCCGCCCUGGGGUGAGGCCGCGUCCUAUCAGCUCGUUGGUGAGGUAACGGCCCACCAAGGCUAUGACGGGUAGCCGGCCUGAGAGGGCGGCUGGCCACACUGGGAUUGAGAUACGGCCCAGACUCCUACGGGAGGCAGCAGUGGGGAAUAUUGGGCAAUGGGGGAAACCCUGACCCAGCGACGCCGCGUGGAGGAAGGAGCCCUUCGGGGUGUAAACUCCUGUUGUAAGGGAAGAAGACAGUGACGGUACCUUACGAGGAAGCCCCGGCAAACUACGUGCC
rnacentral:rRNA from 1 species